rnacentral:rRNA from 1 species
UACGAAGGGGGGCUAGCGUUGCUCGGAUUGACUGGGCGUAAAGGGCGCGUAGGCGGUUUGCACAGUUGGGCGUGAAAUUCCUGGGCUUAACCUGGGGAGUGCGUUCAAUACGUGUAGGCUUGAGUUCGGAAGAGGGUCGUGGAAUUCCCAGUGUAGAGGUGAAAUUCGUAGAUAUUGGGAAGAACACCGGUGGCGAAGGCGGCGACCUGGGUCCGAUACUGACGCUGAGGCGCGAAAGCGUGGGGAGCAAACAGG